rnacentral:lncRNA from 1 species
GGACUCUGUGGUGGUGAUUGAAGAAGUGAAGCUUGGAGUACAGGGUGAGGUGGUCUCGGUGGUGGUGAUUGAAGAAGUGAAGCUGGGAGUACUGGGUGAGGGGGUCUCAGUGGUGGUGAUUGAAGAAGUGAAACUGGGAGUACUGUGGGAUGUGGUCUCUGUGGUGGUGAUUGAAGAAGUGAAGCUGGGAGUACUGUGUGGGGUGGUCUCGGUGGUGGUGAUUGAGGGAGUGAAGCUGGGAGUAUUGUGGGAUGUGGUCUCGGUGGUGGUGGUCGAAGAAGUGAAGUUGGGAGGUGGUCAGAAGAAGGAAGUGUGGGUGGUGG